rnacentral:lncRNA from 1 species
GGUUUUGCGGCAAAAACACUCUCGAGCGAACCAACACCCGAUUUCCCGCAUGACUCCGACUACGAUUCUGCAAAAGAAGAACCCUGCACCUUCAGAUUCUCUAAACGCAUAAGAACACCGAAGAACCGAAAUACCAAGAUUGAACAAUGAAAUUGCGACAAAAAGCAGAUAGCAAGGGAAAGAAUUUGUCAAAUGAUAGUGAAAUGCAGAGAAAGGGAAAACUCACGUUAGAUUUCUUGAGGAAAGAGAAAAGAGAAAAAAGUAAAGAAAAAAAUCAAAUAAAAAUAAAACCAAAUUAGAUAAAUCCCAACUCUCCACUAACCUCUCAAUCUCAAUUACCCAACUGACUCGGAAUUUCAAGACCACUCAAACUCUCUCACCCAACCGAAACAAAAAUUAACACCCUCACUCCCACAUGGAUUUGAACACAGAACCUCCAGCACAACAACCCUUUACCACUCAAACCAACAAGCUCAUUCUAAUAUGAGUUAACUAAAGAUAAAAUAUAAACC